rnacentral:rRNA from 1 species
AGCAGCCGCGGUAAUUCCAGCUCCAAUAGCGUAUAUUAAAGUUGCUGCAGUUAAAAAGCUCGUAGUUGAAUUUCGGGACCAAUAUGUCGGUCGUGCCUCGGUACGUACUGGCAUCGUUGGUUUCUCCUUUCUGAAGAACCAUGAUGUCAUUUAUUUGGUGUCGUGGGGAAUCAGGACUGUUACUUUGAAAAAUUAGAGUGUUUAAAGCAGGCUCACGCUUGAAUACAUUAGCAUGGAAUAAUGAAAUAGGACGUUUGAUUCUAUUUUGUUGGUUUCUAGGAUCGACGUAAUGAUUAAUAGGGAUAGUUGGGGGCAUUAG